AUACACGUGGAUCAUGUUACCACCUCACUACUAUUUAUUUUGGUUGAAUGACAAAAGGAAUGCCAUUAGGAAACGAAAACAACACGUACGGCAAAAUAAUCCAACUCCAAUUAAAACCCAGGCGCUAAAGGAAAUAUUGUGGAGGAAGAGUGCAUGCAAAUAUAUUUGUGGCUAGUAUUCAUCGUACAGCUUGCGUGCAGAUGCACAAUGCAUUGUGGUAGCAACAUCAAUCGAUUGUUUGCAAACGCUUGAUCUUUAGAAAGGAAUAAUGAUACUACGGCAAUUUGUUACAGGCAGCAACUCCGUGGAAGAAAUUUACAUUGUCACGUCGGAUUGUUUGAGCAUUGUAAAUGAAAACAUCGAAGCCGGAGGCGAUGAAGUGAAAACAUCGAAGCCGUCUAAUUUAUGUGCUGCCAGCCGGGAGAGUGGUCAUGGUAGUACAGAGAAAAAGAUCAUACAACAUUGCAGCACAUAUUCUAAUGUUAGAAAACCAACAGAUAAAUGCUUGGUAGAUGUGAAAGCUAAUUUCGAUGCAACUCCAGAUUCUAUUGAUAAAACAUACCGUGAAAACGAUAGGCAGCGAAAUGUGUCAGCUUCGCCAAGACAGUUGAUGAGUGAGGAACACGUUUGCAAUCUAUGUGUGGUUAAAUUUCAUACUAUAGAAAUGCUAAAGCAACACCUGAAACUAAACCAUCAUCACAUGUUACCAUUCAAAUGUAAAUCCUGUGCCUGUAAGGAAAUCAGAAGUGUUCUAAUGUUGAACAAACAUUUUUUCCAGCAUGAUCUUAGCAAACUGUAUCAAUGUAAAUAUUGCAAGGCUCGUUUUGAUUCGGCACUCCGUUGUUCAGUACAUCAGCGUCAAUUUCAUCCGGAUGAGUUAAGGAAGCACAAGCAUAACGAAAAAUACAACAUUGGACGAUACACGUGUCGCUUUUGCGAAAAACGAUUUGUAGCAAAAGCGAACUUCGAACGUCACGAACGUAAUCACGAAAAAACGCUGGCACUAGCAGGAGAAAGGAAUAUUUUCGAUUUUCUAUAUCAUUGCUAUGUAUGCAGUAAACAAUUUAACUCUAAACAAACACUCAAUGAACAUUUGAAUGUGCAUGCAGAUCGAUUGCCUUUUCGCUGCGAUAAAUGUGCAUCGACCUCCGAGACCAUACAAUCCGUUCGCACACUAAACAAACAUAUCGCUUUGCACUUAGAGAAAAAGCCCGUUAAAUGUUGUUACUGUGAAGAGCGAUUUAUUUCAAUUAAGGAAUGCGAGGCGCAUGAAAUACUUAUUCAUGUAGAAGAAAAAACUGGUAGCAUUUGCGAGCCUGUGGAGAACGAUACAGAAGAGGAAGCUAAAAAGAUUUGUAAGAGCGGAACAAAAAGCCUUCACAAUGAUGGUACCUUGCGAUACGAAUGUUCGUUUUGUACUAAAUCGUACUCGCUUUUAAGUACCUUACGUAGGCAUGAAAAUGUGCACACAGGAAAGAGGCAGUUCAUAUGUAAAAUAUGUGGCAAAGUGUUCAACAAAUCAUCCUGUCUUUCACAACACGAACGCACGCAUCUAAACGACCUACCUUACAAAUGCAACUACUGCGGAAAAACCUUCAAGCAAACGAUUCGUUUGAUUGAACAUAGACGCAUACACACCGGGGAAAAACCUUUUCAAUGUGACCAUUGCACCAUACGAUUUCGUUUGAAAUCGUUGCUUAAAGAACAUAUGGCAAAAUGCACUAUUAACCGAACACCUCGACAGGAGAUUAGUUGUGAAUGCUGUGACCGGUUACUUUCCAGUAAACAGAUGUAUGUGAAACACGUAAUGGAGCUACAUCCUCAGAACAUUCCAACAGACGGAAAAUGUAGGUACUGUAGUUUGAAGCUAAAAUCUGUUACGACCGCACUGGAACAUGAAUUACGGCAUCGACAACCCGAUGUAAUUGAAUGCAAGCAGUGUGCAAGGAUCUUCAAACAGCAAUCUAAUUUAAGGCGCCAUCAGCGACUACACUCCGUCAAUGCAAUGCCGUACAAGUGUGAUCUGUGUGAAAAAUCGUUUUCGCAGCUAAGUUCGAUGAAAGUGCACAGACGAGUGCAUACUGGAGAAAAGCCGUACAAAUGUAAGUUAUGUGAGAAAGGUUUUCAACACAGCUCUACCAGGAACCGCCAUGAACGCUCACACCAUAGGCAGGGAAGUACAUUAUUUUUACCAUGCAACGGUAAUAUAAUCAAAAACGGGACUGACAGUGAAAUAAUUGGUUCCUAGUGUUCUGCAACAUAAACCUUCUUACUCAGUUAAAUUAACUGUAAUAAAUGAACAAUUAUCUAUGGCUGUAA